UGUGUUCUCGGGUAUCAUAAUUUAUUUAAAAAAUUAAAAAUAUCUACUCUUAAUAAAAUAUAUGAACCAAGGAGGUGGGAGUCGUUAAUGCUAAUAAAAGAAAUAAACUAAUAAUCUCAGUUGAUUUGGUGGCUUCUUCUUGGCUUAUGUUAGCUGCUUGGGUGCUGUUUCAUGGGGUUGCUGGCCUUCUCUGGCUAGGGAGAUACGUUUCCAUGGGGAUUUGGGAUAGCUAAUAAUCUCAGUUGAUUUGACUGUGAUCUGUGUUGAGAUCAGUUACAAUUGCUUCCAGCUAGCUUAUUCGUGCAGUUCUGCUUCAUGCAACUUUGCAGAACUUCUACCUUGUAUUUAAAACUCAUCGCCUAUUCUGCUGUUUUGAUUUUCCUCCUCUUCUAAUUACAUGUUCAUUUUGCUGCUUCGAUCAUAUACAUGAUCACUCCUACACAAACGCACAGUUCAAAGUGCUCAUUCUUUCUCCCACUCCAUGCCCACAUUCAUUGAUCCCUUGCCCUACACUGCAUCACCUCCCAUGUUUGGUACUGUUUUCAGUCAUCAUAACUACUGUAUCCAUCGUCUGUUGCAGGUUAUUUCGUUGCUAAACAUGCACCUAAGCACCGAAGGGCUUUCUUUUAGCUGCUAAGAAAGUCGUAUUUGAUCUGUAUUUUCUUCCUUCAUAGCAAGCUUCACCUUCCUAAUGGAAUCCUUACUAGUCAUGGAGGCAUUUUCGGUUUUUUACAUGUAAAAAAAAUUGUUGACGCGUGCUUGGCACUAGUCAAUCGCUCCGCCAUCUUCGGGUGACGUGUGCGACUAACUAUUGUGGUUGAAAUCAGGCUCCCGCAACAUCCUAUUAUGCGUUUCGACGUCCCCUUCUUUCCUGGAUGGCACAUGUAUAGUUGUGAGGACUUACGAAGACAAUUCUUAAGAAUAGAAGGUUGACAUUGACACAAAUGGGGAAGUAAGAGAGCCAUAAUCAAGAGCAAGAGGAAAGCGUUCUUGGGCUUCCUAUACGAUGCCGAAUCAUUUUAUGGGUCAUUCAAGCUAUCAACGUAGAUUUGUGGGCUGAACAAGCUCUGUCCAUAAUCUUCCCAUUGCUGCCUAAAUCUCGACAAAAAACCAUGCGAGAAGCCAUACAUGUUGGAAGAUCCUCAUGAGCUUAUGGGACUGUGAUUGUGACUCAAUGAGUCGUCAUCUUUCCUAGAGCAUUUUCGAACUCGAGCCUUUCCUUGUUGAGAGCUAAAAUCUCAGACAGUCAAGACACAACAGCAAUGCCAUGGCGAAGCUCAUCUCGCCUGUGUUGAUGGGGAAAGGGAAUAGAGAGGGGAGGUGUAUGUAUCAAUUUUGAACUUAACAAAAUUUGAAGGAUGUAAUUUAAUUGGUCAAGUUAUAAUGUUGUUCUACAAAGAUCACUAGUUUGAGUAUUAUAAAUUUUAAAACUAUUAGAGAUUUAUAUGAUUAUUAACUUUAGAGGUAUUAGAAGAUUAAUCAAGAUGCGUAUAAAUUAGCUCGAACACUAACCUUAUAUAUAUAAAAAAAAAUAUUUAAACUCGACGGGGCAGAGGUCAAUUCAAUCAAUUUCUUGAUGCGUAGUAAGCUAGAAGAAAAGGGACACCCCUCCUUCCUUCCCCACGCAGUUGCGAAAGGGUCUCUGAGAGGGUUGGUGGAUUGCCAGCCCUACGUCUUAUUGCUGAUAGCGUCCUUCCUUGUCACCAUUCCAAUCCUCAGGAAAGUCCAAUCUACACUCAAUGCCCCACAACAUGCAUCACAAAACACAAACCCUUAAUUCCACCAUUACACAGUGGCCCAUGCAGUCCCACAAGAAAAAGGAGAGCUCAACCAAACCUUUUUCUUCUCUCCUUUCCCUUUCACUGCUUGAAAGAUCAUCCUCACAGCCAUAAAGGGAACGUAGAAUCUUGUGAAAUUAGGUUUUUAGAUGGAGGAUAUCUCGUGCCUCACGAGGCUAACUUUUUGCCUGCGAGCGCCAUUCUUGAAAUCUCAAGGUUAAUUGUACCAGGCCCUUAAGCUUGGAAAAUUAGUUUUGUGGUCGAGGAAUUUGCUCAUUUUUCUUGAUUUAAUCCAACACCAGAAAAACUUCCUAGAUUUCUUUGUAAAUAGUGUUCCGUUUCACUCAAAUCACUCGGAAAAGAACUUGAUUUUGAUAAUAUCAAACACUUGGCCCCCUCGACCUCAAGAAAAAAUAAUCCAGCAUCAGUAGCCUGGUCAAAUCAAAAGCAAGGGUGGGACUGGGCGGCUGGCUGGGGCUUUUUCCAGACCAAGAACAUAACAAGGCAGGCCAUUUUCGCAUUAAUGCAAACCCUAGAAAAAGUGGAUUUCACUUUUCAAUACCUUGCCGCCAUCAAUCUCCCAGCAAGUGACAGUUCCUGCACCUCCGGCUCCAAGUUAGUCAUCUACACUGUUUAUUUUUAUAUUUUAAAAAUAUUUUUGAAAUAAUUUAAAAAUUUUUUAUUUUUAUUUUAAAUUAAUAUAUUUAUAAUGUUUUUAGAUUUAAUAUCAAAAAUAAUUUUUUAAAAAUAAAAAAAAUAUUAUUUUAAUAUAUUUAUAAAUAAAAAAUAUUUUAAAAAACAACCACAACCACGCUCUAAUAUUUAUCUAUCUGAGCAUGAGCAUAAAACCUAUCUGAGCAUGAGCAU